rnacentral:rRNA from 1 species
UAGUCCACGCCGUAAACGAUGUCUGCUAGCUGUUGGCGACUUUAAGUUGCUAGUGGCGUAGCUAACGCGAUAAGCAGACCGCCUGGGGAGUACGGCCGCAAGGUUAAAACUCAAAUGAAUUGACGGGGGCCCGCACAAGCGGUGGAGCAUGUGGUUUAAUUCGAUGCAACGCGAAGAACCUUACCAGGUCUUGACAUCCCGAGAAGUCGCUAGAGAUAGCUUCGUGCCUUCGGGAACUCGGUGACAGGUGCUGCAUGGCUGUCGUCAGCUCGUGUCGUGAGAUGUUGGGUUAAGUCCCGUAACGAGCGCAACCCCUAUUUUCAGUUGCCAGCAAUUCGGUUGGGGACUCUGGAAAGACUGCCCGUGUAAGCGUGGAGGAAGGUGGGGACGACGGUCAAAUCAUCAUGGCCUUUAUGCCUAGGGGCUACACACGUGCUACAAUGGUAGAUACAAAGGGUUGCCAAGCCGCGAGGUGGAGCUAAUCCCAUAAAGUCUAUCCCAGUUCGGA